rnacentral:rRNA from 1 species
UACGUAGGGGGCAAGCGUUGUCCGGAAUUAUUGGGCGUAAAGAGCGCGUAGGCGGUCCGAUAAGUCGGCUGUGAAAGUCAAGGGCUCAACCCUUGAAAGCCGGCCGAUACUGUCGGACUAGAGUCCGGAAGAGGCGAGUGGAAUUCCCGGUGUAGCGGUGAAAUGCGCAGAUAUCGGGAAGAACACCCGUGGCGAAGGCGGUUCUCUGGGACGGU